AUGAUUGUCUUCAUGCUGUUGGUCAGUCACAGGGCUGUUGGUCAGUCACAGGGCUGUUGGUCAGUCACAGGGCUGUUGGUCAGCAGCUUUCCCGUGGUCAGUCACAGGGCUGUUGGUCAGUCACAGGGCUGUUGGUCAGCAGCUUUCCCGUGGUCAGUCACAGGGCUGUUGGUCAGCAGCUUUCCCGUGGUCAGUCACAGGGCUGUUGGUCAGUCACAGGGCUGUUGGUCAGCAGCUUUCCCGUGGUCAGUCACAGGGCUGUUGGUCAGCAGCUUUCCCGUGGUCAGUCACAGGGCUGUUGGUCAGUCACAGGGCUGUUGGUCAGCAGCUUUCCCGUGGUCAGUCACAGGGCUGUUGGUCAGCAGCUUUCCCGUGGUCAGUCACAGGGCUGUUGGUCAGUCACAGGGCUGUUGGUCAGCAGCUUUCCUGUGGUCGGUCACAGGGCUGUUGUUCAGCAGCUUUCUCGUGGUCAGUCACAGGGCUGUUGUUCAACAGGUUUCCCGUGGUCAGUCACAGGGCUGUUGUUCAGCAGCUUUCCCGUGGUCAGUCACAGGGCUGUUGGUCAGCAGCUUUCCUGUGGUCAGUCACAGGGCUGUUGGUCAGCAGCUUUCUCGUGGUCAGUCACAGGGCUGUUGGUCAGCAGCUUUCCUGUGGUCAGUCACAGGGCUGUUGUUCAGCAGCUUUCUCGUGGUCAGUCACAGGGCUGUUGUUCAACAGGUUUCCCGUGGUCAGUCACAGGGCUGUUGUUCAGCAGCUUUCCCGUGGUCAGUCACAGGGCUGUUGGUCAGCAGCUUUCCUGUGGUCAGUCACAGGGCUGUUGGUCAGCAGCUUUCUCGUGGUCAGUCACAGGGCUGUUGGUCAGCAGCUUUCCUGUGGUCAGUCACAGGGCUGUUGGUCAGCAGCUUUCCAGUUGGACUAAAAUUAUACUUUUUCUUUCUCCCGUCUCCCAAUUUCCUCUACAGUCUGGCACCGUCUCUUUGCCGCUUUCUUCCAUUGAAAUAUCUAUAUUUUGGAGCUGUGGAAUUGUAG
rnacentral:lncRNA from 8 species